GGUUAAGCGACCAAGCGUACACGGUGGAUGCCCUGGCAGUCAGAGGCGAUGAAGGACGUGCUAAUCUGCGAAAAGCGCCGGUAAGGUGAUAUGAACCGUUAUAACCGGCGAUGUCCGAAUGGGGAAACCCAGUGUGACUCGUCACACUAUCAUUAACUGAAUCCAUAGGUUAAUGAGGCGAACCGGGGGAACUGAAACAUCUAAGUACCCCGAGGAAAAGAAAUCAACCGAGAUUCCCCCAGUAGCGGCGAGCGAACGGGGAGGAGCCCAGAGCCUGAAUCAGCAUGUGUGUUAGUGGAAGCGUCUGGAAAGGCGCGCGAUACAGGGUGAGAGCCCCGUACACAAAAGCGCAUAUGCUGUGAGCUCGAUGAGUAGGGCGGGACACGUGGUAUCCUGUCUGAAUAUGGGGGGACCAUCCUCCAAGGCUAAAUACUCCUGACUGACCGAUAGUGAACCAGUACCGUGAGGGAAAGGCGAAAAGAACCCCGGCGAGGGGAGUGAAACAGAACCUGAAACCGUGUACGUACAAGCAGUGGGAGCCCCACCACUAAGCCAGUGGUGAACUCCACAUACGCAUCCUUUGCGGAAGAUGCGGUUAACGGAGCGAAAGCGACGUUCAACCUCAGAAGAAGCAGAGGGGGCUUAGUGGUGGGGUGACUGCGUACCUUUUGUAUAAUGGGUCAGCGACUUAUAUUCUGUAGCAAGGUUAACCGCAUAGGGGAGCCGAAGGGAAACCGAGUCUUAAUUGGGCGUUAAGUUGCAGGGUAUAGACCCGAAACCCGGUGAUCUAGCCAUGGGCAGGUUGAAGGUUGGGUAACACUAACUGGAGGACCGAACCGACUAAUGUUGAAAAAUUAGCGGAUGACCUGUGGCUGGGGGUGAAAGGCCAAUCAAACCGGGAGAUAGCUGGUUCUCCCCGAAAGCUAUUUAGGUAGCGCCUCGUGAACUCAUCUCCGGGGGUAGAGCACUGUUUCGGCUAGGGGGCCAUCCCGGCUUACCAACCCGAUGCAAACUGCGAAUACCGGAGAAUGUUAUCACGGGAGACACACGGCGGGUGCUAACGUCCGUCGUGAAGAGGGAAACAACCCAGACCGCCAGCUAAGGUCCCAAAGUCAUGGUUAAGUGGGAAACGAUGUGGGAAGGCCCAGACAGCCAGGAUGUUGGCUUAGAAGCAGCCAUCAUUUAAAGAAAGCGUAAUAGCUCACUGGUCGAGUCGGCCUGCGCGGAAGAUGUAACGGGGCUAAACCAUGCACCGAAGCUGCGGCAGCGACACUGUGUGUUGUUGGGUAGGGGAGCGUUCUGUAAGCCGUUGAAGGUGUGUCGUGAGGCAUGCUGGAGGUAUCAGAAGUGCGAAUGCUGACAUAAGUAACGAUAAAGCGGGUGAAAAGCCCGCUCGCCGGAAGACCAAGGGUUCCUGUCCAACGUUAAUCGGGGCAGGGUGAGUCGACCCCUAAGGCGAGGCCGAAAGGCGUAGUCGAUGGGAAACGGGUUAAUAUUCCCGUACUUGGUGUUACUGCGAAGGGGGGACGGAGAAGGCUAUGUUGGCCGGGCGACGGUAGUCCCGGUUUAAGCGUGUAGGUGUGUGUUCCAGGUAAAUCCGGUUCACUUUAACACUGAGGCGUGAUGACGAGGCACCACGGUGCUGAAGCAACAAAUGCCCUGCUUCCAGGAAAAGCCUCUAAGCAUCAGGUAACAUCAAAUCGUACCCCAAACCGACACAGGUGGUCAGGUAGAGAAUACCAAGGCGCUUGAGAGAACUCGGGUGAAGGAACUAGGCAAAAUGGUGCCGUAACUUCGGGAGAAGGCACGCUGACACGUAGGUGAAGUGAUUUACUCAUGGAGCUGAAGUCAGUCGAAGAUACCAGCUGGCUGCAACUGUUUAUUAAAAACACAGCACUGUGCAAACACGAAAGUGGACGUAUACGGUGUGACGCCUGCCCGGUGCCGGAAGGUUAAUUGAUGGGGUCAGCGCAAGCGAAGCUCCUGAUCGAAGCCCCGGUAAACGGCGGCCGUAACUAUAACGGUCCUAAGGUAGCGAAAUUCCUUGUCGGGUAAGUUCCGACCUGCACGAAUGGCGUAAUGAUGGCCAGGCUGUCUCCACCCGAGACUCAGUGAAAUUGAACUCGCUGUGAAGAUGCAGUGUACCCGCGGCAAGACGGAAAGACCCCGUGAACCUUUACUAUAGCUUGACACUGAACAUUGAGCCUUGAUGUGUAGGAUAGGUGGGAGGCUUUGAAGCGUGGACGCCAGUCUGCGUGGAGCCGACCUUGAAAUACCACCCUUUAAUGUUUGAUGUUCUAACGUGGACCCGUAAUCCGGGUUGCGGACAGUGUCUGGUGGGUAGUUUGACUGGGGCGGUCUCCUCCUAAAGAGUAACGGAGGAGCACGAAGGUUGGCUAAUCCUGGUCGGACAUCAGGAGGUUAGUGCAAUGGCAUAAGCCAGCUUGACUGCGAGCGUGACGGCGCGAGCAGGUGCGAAAGCAGGUCAUAGUGAUCCGGUGGUUCUGAAUGGAAGGGCCAUCGCUCAACGGAUAAAAGGUACUCCGGGGAUAACAGGCUGAUACCGCCCAAGAGUUCAUAUCGACGGCGGUGUUUGGCACCUCGAUGUCGGCUCAUCACAUCCUGGGGCUGAAGUAGGUCCCAAGGGUAUGGCUGUUCGCCAUUUAAAGUGGUACGCGAGCUGGGUUUAGAACGUCGUGAGACAGUUCGGUCCCUAUCUGCCGUGGGCGCUGGAGAAUUGAGGGGGGCUGCUCCUAGUACGAGAGGACCGGAGUGGACGCAUCACUGGUGUUCGGGUUGUCAUGCCAAUGGCACUGCCCGGUAGCUAAAUGCGGAAAAGAUAAGUGCUGAAAGCAUCUAAGCACGAAACUUGCCCCGAGAUGAGUUCUCCCUGAGACCUUGAGUCUCCUGAAGGAACGUUAAAGACGAUGACGUUGAUAGGCCGGGUGUGUAAGCGCAGCGAUGCGUUGAGCUAACCGGUACUAAUGAACCGUGAGGCUUAACCUU
rnacentral:rRNA from 1 species